GGUGGCUCAGUGGUGGAGCACUUGCCUUGCAUGCAUGAGGUCCUGGGUUCAAUUCCUCAGCACCA
rnacentral:tRNA from 1 species